rnacentral:rRNA from 1 species
AAUAGAUACCCUGGUAGUCCACGCCGUAAACGAUGAGUGCUAAGUGUUAGAGGGUUUCCGCCCUUUAGUGCUGCAGCAAACGCAUUAAGCACUCCGCCUGGGGAGUACGGUCGCAAGACUGAAACUCAAAGGAAUUGACGGGGGCCCGCACAAGCGGUGGAGCAUGUGGUUUAAUUCGAAGCAACGCGAAGAACCUUACCAGGUCUUGACAUCCUCUGACAACCCUAGAGAUAGGGCUUCCCCUUCGGGGGCAGAGUGACAGGUGGUGCAUGGUUGUCGUCAGCUCGUGUCGUGAGAUGUUGGGUUAAGUCCCGCAACGAGCGCAACCCUUGAUCUUAGUUGCCAGCAUUCAGUUGGGCACUCUAAGGUGACUGCCGGUGACAAACCGGAGGAAGGUGGGGAUGACGUCAAAUCAUCAUGCCCCUUAUGACCUGGGCUACACACGUGCUACAAUGGGCAGAACAAAGGGCAGCGAAGCCGCGAGGCUAAGCCAAUCCCACAAAUCUGUUCUCAGUUCGGAUCG